rnacentral:rRNA from 1 species
UGGGGAAUAUUGCGCAAUGGAGGAAACUCUGACGCAGCAACGCCGCGUGAAGGAUGAAGGUUUUCGGAUCGUAAACUUUCUUUGAUUGGGGACGAAAUAAGUGACGGUACCCAAAGAACAAGCCACGGCUAACUACGUGCCAGCAGCCGCGGUAAUACGUAGGUGGCGAGCGUUGUCCGGAAUUACUGGGUGUAAAGGGCGUGUAGGCGGGGAGACAAGUCAGAUGUGAAAUACCGUAGGCUUAACUACGGGGCUGCAUCUGAAACUGUAUCUCUUGAGUGUCGGAGAGGAAAGUGGAAUUCCCAGUGUAGCGGUGAAAUGCGUAGA